ACUUAUAUAGCUUAUAGAAAGAGUUUAACAUUGAAGAUGUUAGGGAGGAAUAAAUUUAUUAACCUUUAAGUA
rnacentral:tRNA from 1 species